rnacentral:rRNA from 1 species
UUCUUGGUCAUUUAGAGGAAGUAAAAGUCGUAACAAGGUUUCCGUAGGUGAACCUGCGGAAGGAUCAUUAAAGAAAUUUAAUAAUUUCGAAAAUGGAUUUUUUUGUUUUGGCAAGAGCAUGAGAGCUUUUACUGGGCAAGAAGACAAGAGAUGGAGAGUCCAGCCGGGCCUGCGCUUAAGUGCGCGGUCUUGCUAGGCUUGUAAGUUUCUUUCUUGCUAUUCCAAACGGUGAGAGAUUUCUGUGCUUUUGUUAUAGGACAAUUAAAACCGUUUCAAUACAACACACUGUGGAGUUUUCAUAUCUUUGCAACUUUUUCUUUGGGCAUUCGAGCAAUCGGGGCCCAGAGGUAACAAACACAAACAAUUUUAUCUAUUCAUUAAAUUUUUGUCAAAAACAAGAAUUUUCGUAACUGGAAAUUUUAAAAUAUUAAAAACUUUCAACAACGGAUCUCUUGGUUCUCGCAUCGAUGAAGAACGCAGCGAAAUGCGAUACGUAAUGUGAAUUGCAGAAUUCCGUGAAUCAUCGAAUCUUUGAACGCACAUUGCGCCCCUUGGUAUUCCAGGGGGCAUGCCUGUUUGAGCGUCAUUUCCUUCUCAAACAUUCUGUUUGGUAGUGAGUGAUACUCUUUGGAGUUAACUUGAAAUUGCUGGCCUUUUCAUUGGAUGUUUUUUCUCCAAAGAGAGGUUUCUCUGCGUGCUUGAGGUAUAAUGCAAGUACGGUCGUUUUAGGUUUUACCAACUGCGGCUAAUCUUUUUUAUACUGAGCGUAUUGGAACGUUAUCGAUAAGAAGAGAGCGUCUAGGCGAACAAUGUUCUUAAAGUUUGACCUCAAAUCAGGUAGGAGUACCCGCUGAACUUAAGCAUAUCAAUAAGCGGAGGAA